AAGAUGUCUUAUCUUAUCUCAUUUCUUCUACUAUUCUUAUAAAUUUAUCCAACUCACUCCUCUACUCAUUCAUUUUAUGGUAGCAAUUCCAAAAUUUCUUCCUACUAGUCCAUCGCAUUCCUUAAGUCCAUUUAUUUGGCCAAGUUCCACAUAAUAGACUUCUUGGCUCUUAACGCCAAUCUAAAUAGAAGAUAUUAUUAAGUAGGGAGUUUGGUUAGGAUAGCACAUCUAUUAAAAAAUAACAUAUGUAUUUUAAGAUGAAUUCAACAAGAACAAAAAACUUAUGUCGAACAAAAGAAUAAAAUCUCAUUUGAUUUUGAUUUUUAGUAAAAAUAAAAAUUGUAAAAGCGUGGCCUAUCAAUCCUUUAGUUUUUUGGAAUUUGAAGCUAAAAGUGUUAAAAAAAUUACUGCAUAGAUAAUUGACAUGUGAUAGCUAAGCAUUCAUAUUGACUUUAUUUUUUAAUCUUUUAGUGUCAAUAUUA
rnacentral:ncRNA from 1 species